rnacentral:rRNA from 1 species
CCUACGGGGUGCAGCAGUAGGGAAUCUUUCACAAUGGGCGAAAGCCUGAUGGAGCAACGCCGCGUGCAGGAUGAAGGCCUUCGGGUUGUAAACUGCUUUUAUAAGCGAGAAAUAUGAUGGUAACUUAUGAAUAAGGAUCGGCUAACUACGUGCCAGCAGCCGCGGUCAUACGUAGGAUCCGAGCAUUAUCCGGAGUGACUGGGUGUAAAGAGUUGCGUAGGGGGCAUAAUAAGUAGCUAGUGAAAUCUGGUGGCUAAACCAUUCAGACUAUUAGCUAAACUGUUAAGCUCGAGACCGUUAGGGGUAACUGGAAUUUCUAGUGUAGGAGUGAAAUCCGUAGAUAUUAGAAGGAACACCAAUAGCGUAGGCAGGUUGCUGGGACGGUUCUGACACUAAGGCACGAAAGCGUAGGGAGCAAACGGGAUUAGAUACCCGGGUAGUC